rnacentral:rRNA from 1 species
GACGAACGCUGGCGGCGUGCUUAACACAUGCAAGUCGAGCGGUAAGGCCCUUUCGGGGGUACGACGAGCGGCGAACGGGUGAGUAACACGUGGGUGACCUGCCCUUAGCUCUGGGAUAAGCCUGGGAAACUGGGUCUAAUACCGGAUAUGACUCCAUGACGCAUGUUGUGGGGUGGAAAGCCUUGUGCGGCUAGGGAUGGGCCCGCGGCCUAUCAGCUUGUUGGUGGGGUGAUGGCCUACCAAGGCGACGACGGGUAGCCGGCCUGAGAGGGCGACCGGCCACACUGGGACUGAGACACGGCCCAGACUCCUACGGGAGGCAGCAGUGGGGAAUCUUGCGCAAUGGGCGAAAGCCUGACGCAGCGACGCCGCGUGAGGGAUGACGGCCUCGGUU